UACGUAGGGUGCAAGCGUUACUCGGAAUUACUGGGCGUAAAGCGUGCGUAGGUGGUUCGUUAAGUCUGAUGUGAAAGCCCCGGGCUCAACCUGGGAACUGCAUUGGAUACUGGCGAUCUGGAGUGCGGUAGAGGGUGGCGGAAUUCCCGGUGUAGCAGUGAAAUGCGUAGAUAUCGGGAGGAACAUCCGUGGCGAAGGCGGCCACCUGGACCAGCACUGACACUGAGGCACGAAAGCGUGGGGAGCAAACAGG
rnacentral:rRNA from 1 species